rfam:Salmo salar isolate Sally breed double haploid chromosome ssa20, whole genome shotgun sequence.
GGCUCAGUUGGUAGAGCAUGGUGUUUGCAACGCCAGGGUUGUGGGUUUGAUUCCCAC